AGAGGCUAGGCAUUUGGCUUGGCUUGGCUUUGGAACAAAUGACUUGUUAUGACUUGAUCAAUUCUUCGAUUGAUAAAUACUUUGCAAACUCCGUAUGUGCUGACGCUUAGUGCACUGGUCUGGUUCACAAGCGACUAACACUGAAGUCACACAUUGUACCGUCUUUGUCAGCAAACAUUGAUCAGUCGGUUCCGGGUUAGUUUAUGCUUCAGUUUGUUGAUUAUAAAUAACCAACCAAGAUAUAUAGAAAUAUCUUGCUUCAGGGGUUGCACUGAAAUCUUUCGAGUACUUGGACAACAUCUCCAUUGCUUCCACAAUCUUGAAUACUUCAAUCUUUAUUCUUCACUGAGGCAUGAACAUAUUAAUGAACUUCUUCCAGUGAACUUAUUCCUUCAAGACUGUAGAUGGC
rnacentral:lncRNA from 1 species